UGCCAGCCGCCGCGGUAAUACGGAGGUUGCAAGCGUUGUUCGGAAUUACUGGGCGUAAAGGGGGCGCAGGCGGUUCGAUUAGUCUGGAGUGAAAGCCCGGGGCUCAACCCCGGAAGGCCUUUGGAUACUGUCGAACUAGAGUACGGGAGAGGAGAGCGGAAUUCCUGGUGUAGCGGUGAAAUGCGUAGAUAUCAGGAGGAACAUCAGUGGCGAAGGCGGCUCCCUGGCCAAAGACUGACGCUCAUGUGCGAAAGUGUGGGUAGCGAACAGGAUUAGAUA
rnacentral:rRNA from 1 species